AAGGUAAAUGUUACAGCCACAGGCUAUAAGCAUGCUGUUGCUGGCAUAGACUUUCCCUAUACUAUGGGACCAGGCAAGAACCAGGCAGCACAGGCCGACGUGGUAGAAGCCUCAUCAGCCCUCGCCUCAUCUUGAAUCAUCAUUUGAACAUCUGAACUGGACAAGCUGGGUUCGUAGCCAUAACCCUAGGCACCAUCAGUGAAUGGACAUGUGUUCGUAGUCGACACGCUCAGGCAACCUACUCGCGUCAAGUCGUUGAGUCAACGCCCAGUGCUGUCGUACACCGGUCAGGCUUAGCAGGUCAUGCAUCAUAUCGCACCGGGUUACUACAUACACCAGAGUAUUUCGUUCCGCCUAUUCAGAAACAGGAAGAGGUGGUAUUUACGAACUCUAAAUCGGGACUCUCUAACCCACAACAGUAUACUUUUUAUAUAAAGACCGGGCUAGAGACGGUGGGUGAUUAACUGUAUGUUAUACCUCGAAGGAUGACCUGGUCAUCAGGUAAUCUAUUUUCCUUUGGAAAUAUGGAGAAUUAUAUUGUGAUAUAAUUGAGUACCGAUAAGACGACAUAAACAGUGAUAGGAUAUACUCCUAUCUAAGUUCACAGUGAUUCUGAAACAUUUUAUUUUUGUCAACUAUUUGCAUGUUUAAUUAUAUUGAGCCGAUGGCUCUUAAAUAAACUGUUUGUACCCUAUA